UACGUAGGGUGCGAGCGUUGUCCGGAAUUAUUGGGCGUAAAGGGCUCGUAGGCGGUCUGUCGCGUCGGGAGUGAAAACUCAGGGCUUAACCCUGAGCCUGCUUCCGAUACGGGCAGACUAGAGGUAUGCAGGGGAGAACGGAAUUCCUGGUGUAGCGGUGGAAUGCGCAGAUAUCAGGAGGAACACCGAUGGCGAAGGCAGAUCUCUGGGCCGUAACUGACGCUGAGGAGCGAAAGCGUGGGGAGCGAACAGG
rnacentral:rRNA from 1 species